UGCCAGUUAAUUAUACCAAUGGAUCUUUGGAGCAUUCUAAUUUAACUUACAGCAGCAUAGAUAAGUUUUCUAUCUCAAACAUUCCAACUGGAUCACAUAGAUGAUAACUUGGUUUUUGGGAGGGAUACUAUGGAGGGACUUAAUUUCAAAAUUAAAAACAAAAAAUUAUAUCUACAUAUGAACAAGCCUCUGGUUAGCUGAUUAAUUAUGAGAAAUCAGUUCUCUUUUAGUCCAAAUGAUGCUGAUUGGAGGGAUCACUUGAAGCAACUUUUUGGGGUUCCAGUGGUGCAAUGUCCUGAGAGGUAUUUGGAAGGGGCUAUAGAUCACAAUUAUAGAUUUUGUUAAUCAAGUUGAUCUCAAACCCUAACCGAUCUCUACACGCUCCUCUAUAUCGAACGAUUUGACCUCUUUGCAAUCUCCUCUCUGAUCACAAACUUGAACCAGUUAAAGCAAUUCAUCGAUGAUUGCAAGUCCAAUUCCUCAAUCCUCUCCGAUCCUUCUCUCCCCUUCUUCCAAGACUACCUUGAAAGGUACCUGGAUCAUAAUCAAUUUACUGGGAGAAUCCCGGAUGCAUUCUAUAAGCACACUUUCUUGAAAGAAAUGUAUAUUGAAGGAAAUGCUUUCCGGCCAGGUGUGAACCCUAUUGGCGUCCACAAUGUCCUUGAAGUUUCUGACACAGAGUUCUUGUUUUAGUCAAAGCUUCCACAUAUUAUUUACUCGUAGAAUUGUUUCUUUUUGUUCUUGCUAAAACUAGGGUGUUUCAGUUUGAAUUGGAACGUAGUUCUAUAAAUAGGAUGUAUAUAAUGUACACUAGUGUUUUGGGAAAUUUAAGAAAUUUUGGAAGUAGGCUGUUUGACAGUUUAGAAAGGUGUUGUUGGAUUCUUUGGUUGUCAUU